rnacentral:rRNA from 5 species
GGAAGUAAAAGUCGUAACAAGGUCUCCGUUGGUGAACCAGCGGAGGGAUCAUUACCGAGUUUACAACUCCCAAACCCCUGUGAACAUACCACUUGUUGCCUCGGCGGAUCAGCCCGCUCCCGGUAAAACGGGACGGCCCGCCAGAGGACCCCUAAACUCUGUUUCUAUAUGUAACUUCUGAGUAAAACCAUAAAUAAAUCAAAACUUUCAACAACGGAUCUCUUGGUUCUGGCAUCGAUGAAGAACGCAGCAAAAUGCGAUAAGUAAUGUGAAUUGCAGAAUUCAGUGAAUCAUCGAAUCUUUGAACGCACAUUGCGCCCGCCAGUAUUCUGGCGGGCAUGCCUGUUCGAGCGUCAUUUCAACCCUCAAGCACAGCUUGGUGUUGGGACUCGCGUUAAUUCGCGUUCCUCAAAUUGAUUGGCGGUCACGUCGAGCUUCCAUAGCGUAGUAGUAAAACCCUCGUUACUGGUAAUCGUCGCGGCCACGCCGUUAAACCCCAACUUCUGAAUGUUGACCUCGGAUCAGGUAGGAAUACCCGCUGAACUUAAGCAUAUCAAUAAGCGGAGGA